AUCCCCAAAUCUCUUUCUCUCUCCCUCCUUAACUGAACGUAACCUUGUCUUUCUCCCUUUCUCUCUCGUAUGCUCUCUGUCAGCCUCAAACGGCUACCCACCAAUCGUCACCGCCGUUCAAGCACCGGACUAGAAAGACCAGACACCGCCGAAACUCCAUCCCCGCAAGCCCUUUGUCGUCGUUCUUCCCUACGAGCAGAAGCCUCCAGGUCUAUACGCCGCCGCCGUGGGUUCAAGGCCAAUUUCUGGCUACUCUGACAUUGUCUAUGGUGAAGGGUAGUAUGGGCGAACUAAUGGUAUCAAGAUGAACAAAGCCCAACCAAGGAUUGGGCUUUUAAGUGAUAGGAGGGGACAAAAUGAGCACUCCUGCCUCCAUUUAUCUCUGUGAGUUAUAUAUUUUUUUUUUCAAAUUUUAACUGAAUAUCGUAUAAUCAAUUUAUAUAUAUAAAAAUAUUUAUAUAUAUGAUUGUAAGUUUGUAUGUUGUGUAUGAGUUAUUUCGAUGCCUAGUAUAUAUCAUAUGGUAUCAUAUAUUUAGAUUUAACAUGUUUUCAUUAGAGAAAUUUUUUGAUAAAGAGCUUUGGGGCAUUGAGAAAAAACAAAUGGGUUUUGGAUUGGUUCAUUUACUGCCAAAAGCAUCCUUUGUAUUAUGUAACUAUAUACACUAGUCAUCUCACAAAAGUUCUUGGCUGAACCGGUAUAAACUUUGUGGUGUCAUCUAUUUAAUUUUUUGUUCUUUAGUUUAAUUUUGUUUGUUUUACUAUUGUUAUUUGCUUAUCAGUUUUUGAUGUUGUAUUAAAUUUACAUAUUUCAAGUUCUUGAUCAGAGAAUUACAUUAUAUUCUAUUAAUUGAUUUGCAUACUUUGUUUACUGCUUCUUCAUUGUGUUAUAUUAUAUUAUUUGAAACUUGAAAGUAACAGUUAUAUGCAAUUUAAGCCAUUAUAUUUAUUUAUUUGAAUACGAGAAAUUAUAUUUAAUUUAGUUAAACUUGGAAUGUGUUUUUAUCUGGUUAAAAGUUUAUUUCUUUGGCUAGGAAGAUUGGAAAAUUGUUAGAUAUGACGGGAGAGGGAAGUUUACACCUGUUUUCUGAAAAUUGUUAGAUUUAGCACUAAUAAACAGUUUUAAAAAUAAUGCAUUGUGUUUGGCCUUGUUUUCUAAAAACAGGUUCUAAAAAACUGAGGUAAAAAAGUAACAACUAAAGUGUUUUCUCAAAGUUCUCACUCUCUCAGAUCUAUCUUGAUAAAAAAAAAAAAAAUAACACUUAACAAUGGAGCUUUGAUUUUUGGAUGCUGAUACAAGUGACAUGCAUUUAUUUUGUUCAAACUGAAAUCAAAAUCUUAUUGAAAAACACAAUGUUAUGUGGUAUUGUACUAGCUAAUUUGCUAAGUAUGUUUAUUGUUAUUGAUUCUUUAUCUGUAACUUAGCAUAUGGGAUUUGGGGUAUGGAUUUCUUUUUAAUAAAAAGAGUCAAACUCUAUGGAAUGUUGCUACAAUAACUACUUUCUGAUCUCUAUUGAAAGCAAGCAUGCAAGAUGAAAAUAAAAAUGGAUUGGCAGAGCAUGAAAACAAGGUUUUAAAAGUUUAAAAUACUAUAUAUACAUACAUUAAUUUCUAUAUAAAAUUUAGUUGCAUAUAGUUUAAAUAUCAUAUAUAUAUAUAUACAUACAUAUAUUAAAGUUUACUAUAACCCGAUGAAACAAAUAUAGGCCACCAUUUUAGAUUAUUUACAAAUAGUAAAUAUAUUGUUGUAUCUGUUAUGUCACAGCAAGAAAUAGUAGCAAUUCCUGAAGUGGGAUAAUGACUUCUAUUUCAAAGAUAUUAAUGAAUGGCAAAGAUAUUAUAAUUAUUAUGUGAGAAAUUAAUGCAUUUGUUUGUAUUAUAAAAGACUUUCUGCUCUACUAAUUGGUUAGUAUACUCUGGUGAUACCACUUCUUUGAGUAUCACACAACCUGCAGUACUAGUCUCAUAUUACGCUUAUAUAGGUCCAUGCGUAGAAAAUAAUUUGUUUGUGUGAUGAUGCAUAUAUAAUGGACCUACACUUUCAAUGUCAUUGUAAUUUUCUUACUGUAGUUUGAUAUUUAUUUGUGUAUAUCCAAAAGCACGGGGUGAGUUUCACCCACUAUUACUGCUAUUGUUAUUUUAUUUUGAAAGGUCUAAAAAGAAAGAAAAAAAAUAUGUUGACUAUAUGCUAUACUGGCCGAGUAAAUCUUUCUCCAUAUAUAUGUAUAUAUAAAGGUUAGUAUUUGACUAUCUCAAAAUUUAUAUAUAAAGGUUAGUAUUUGACUAUCUCAAAAUUUAUAAGUAUUGAGAAUGUGAAAUUAUUGUACUACUAUGCAGACCAUUUGAUAUAAUAAUGACACACAAAAUUGUUUAGUUAAAAUUAAAAUCUAAAAGUAUUAGAGGUUAACAUAAUUUCCAAGAACACAAUUCAUCGCCUUUGUUUGACUUAAGUUAAUUUUGGAUUGAUUGUUUUGAUUAAGAGUUUGUGAGAUAAGCAACAUGAGUUUUAGGAUUGGAUUGAGAAUUUAGGUAUUGGGAUUUUGAAAAAUGGCUUUGGUAUCUCAUUCUUUAGUUGUAAUUUCUGGAAAACCAGCUUCGGAUAUUGUUUGGAGCUUUAUAUAUGAGUUACUAUAAUUGUUCUUUAUUCAUUUUGAUGUUUAUUUAUUGUUUUUGGAUAAUUUGUUGUGUAAAUAAAUGUGACUAGAUUGUUUAAUAAGUGACACCAAAAAAGAAUCACUAUUUGUGAUAUGUAUAAAUGUUUAUUUGGAAUAAGUACACUAUAUUCCAUGUUAUACUAUUUCAAGCAUUAAUUUUAUUUUUAGGUAUUGGAAUUAGCAAGGAGCAUUAGAAAAGCUUGCUAUUGAUUGGAAGAGGUAUAAUCUUUUAUUCAUUUUAAUAUUAUACAAGUGUAUGUUACAAGAGUUUGAAUAUCUUAAAUAUUCAUCCAUAGUGAAGUAGGUUCUGGGAUUAUAAUUGUGUGUUGCGGUGAUAACGGAAGGUUGAGAAUUGCAUGUCUUAGUAAAGUAGGUUUUGUGAUAUAUAUAAUUGUGUAUUGGGGGAGAUAUAAGGAAGAAAAUUUGCAUGUUGUUUGAAUUGAUUGAAUUAUUUGAAGUGGAAUUGGCAGAUGGUUAGGUUACAAAUAUAGGGAAAGUGCUGUCCGUUUUAAAUUUUGUCAUGAUAAUUAAAAAUAAUGGCAACCAAUAAAGAUUGUUUUUUUUUUUUUGCUUGAAGACCUUAAAUACACUAACUAAAUCAUAAAAGAUAGUAUGAAUGAUUUAGAAACUACUACAUUUCCAAAGUUCUGAAAAGUACCAACAAUAUUGUCACAUCUUUGUUUAAAAAAAAUGAAUAUUUCAUGAUCUCCAAUUACAUUUGUUGCCCCCAAAAGAAAAAAUGAAUAUGAACUUUGCUGCAGCAAAAGUAAGUCAGAGAGCAGUUCUUGUCUACUGAAACUUUGUUGUAGCAUUACACGAACUUUGUUGCAGCAAAAGUAAGUCAGAGACUUGUCCACUAAAACUUUGUUGUAACAUUACAGGAACUUUGCUGCAGCAAAAGUAAGUUAGAAAGCUAUCCUUGUCCACUGAAACUUUGUUAUAGCAUUACACGAACUUUGCUGCAGCAAAAGUAAGUCAGAGAGCUUGCUCAAAAUUGAUGUUGUAGCAUCAUUCAAUUACGUAUAGUGCUUGGAUCCCAUUAACAUUCAGUUACGCAUUGAGAUUAAAAAUAUAGUUAUGUUGUAAGUUUAUAUAAGUUUUAUUCCUUAAUGUAUAUUAUCAUUUUAAUAGUACUUGUUUGCUAAUUAAAAUAUUUUUAUCACGUAUGGUGCUUUCACACUCUAUGAUACAGAAAAAAGAAAAAUAAUUGUAAGCCUAAAGUAUUAUAGUCCAAAGGUAAGUAACAUUCAACUUUAUAAAACAUAAGAUUUAAAUUAUAAGUAUAUUAACAAGUAUAUGUUAUAUACUUUUAUAUUUGUCUAUGUUAACAAUGCCGACAAGAACCAAAAACCAAUGAGUGUGGCAUCUACUACAUGAAGUAUGCUAAGGAUCUCAUUUCACAACAAAAAACCAGAGCAUAUCUAUCGAAUAAUUUCAAUUAAGAUUUACCGUAUACUGACGCUAAACUUAAUGAAGUUCAAGAGGAGUGGGCAAAAUAUAUUCUACCGCAUCUCACUAAAUGAUGGCAUGCAUGCUCAGUACCUAUAUGAGGGGAUUUAGUCAUUUUUUGGAACUUUGUAUUUCUUUUAUUAGAAAUUGUUAGAACUAAUCAAAUACAGAAUCAAUCUAACAAAUUAUAGGUUGAGUUAAUUUAGCUUUUUGAUGUGCAUACUUUGCUAAUUAUCCUUUUUAUGGCAAACUAGUUUUUUUGGAACUUUGUUAGAUAUUCAUUUUAUAACAAACUUUUUUGGAACUA